CAUCUAGUGACGACACUUGGUGGGCUUUUGGAGCUGCUAGAUUAACCGCCAGAACAGCAGAAGAACUUUUAGCUUGCUACCGCGUAUACUUUUGUAGUGAACUAUAUGGAGAGUUCGCUACGAUAAAAAUGCUGUUUAAUAAGGAAGUGUAGAGAAUGUUGCGACAGGCCGUCCACUGACAUUGGUGCCAUUACAUGAUUGGUUUACAUGACGUCAUCCAGUUUGACCGUUACGCUUUCUCCAAAGGUAGAGCCGGUCAACUAUUUUGGACUGGCAGGUGGUCUGACUGUAAAAUAAACUGUCUGGAGAAUAAUGUCAAAACUAAUGACGAACCAACUGGCGAAGCAAAUUAACUGGCGGAGUGAAUGGGAAGUAUGGCUUUGAACCACUUGUCAUUAAGGAUGUUGUCCUCAGUACGUUUUAUUUGUGUAUCACAGGUUAAUUCAUUUUCAUCGUUAUAGGAAACACAUUUACCUUGCUUGCCGAGAGUUAGAUGAGAAGAUUGAUAACAUUGUCAUGUCUAUAUGCUAGAUAUGAAGCUGGAACCAGGAGAUGGUUAACUUAGUGCAGUGUAAAAUAAUAUAUUUUUAAAUAAUAAUAACAAAAAUAAUUUAGUAAUGAAAAAGAACCAAUAACAGUAUCAAUAAAGAACAGUAUAAGGCAUAUCAAUAAAAUUAAGAUAACAUUCUAACAAUAUACACACCUCUUUAAUAAAGAGAAAGUAUUUCUUAUCAGAUUACUCAGUUAAUCAAUAUAAUAAUCGGUUGAAUACUUGAUUACUAAAAUAGCUGUAAGCUGUACCCAUUUACAGGCUGUGAUACUUGCCAAAGUACUGACCAUGCAGGGUGCCCAAACUUUUCUUAUGGGCCUUUUUCUUUUUUGUCAUUUUGAAACUAUAAAAUAUGUCAAUUGUAUUCAUUUAAAAUUAAAUCUACAACACAAUAAAGUCUGCAAAAAGUGAAGGGGUCUGAAUACUUUCUCAAACAACUAUAUAACCCUGUAAGUUGCUAGUUUUUUCCCCAUCUUUUCCAGUCUUUAUGCUAAGUCAAGAUAACCAGCUUCAUGUUUGAACAUGUUUAAACUUGUGCCAUAUUCACCAGAUUGAUCCAUUUUUUUUAAGAAUCUGCGAAGAAAUGCAAGUACUGCCAGUGCGUCGGACGGAGACAUUGAUAAGUUCAUAAAAAGAUGGCUGCAGCUUGCAUCUGACAGAGAUGGGGGAAGAAGAGAGUGGGCCCUAAAGCAAGCAAAUUCUUUCUAAGGGUACACUUACUUGAGGAGGGUCUUGAGGUUUUCUAGUUUUUUGUUUUGCAUUUGUUCAUGCCACUUUUUGCUAGUUCAUAUAAAGCUGUAUGUUAAUGUAAGGGUUUAAAUAAAUUAUCAUAUUUCUCAUA